GUAGGUGGCAAGCGUUGUCCGGAAUAUUGGGCGUAAAGCGCGCGCAGGCGGUCCUUUAAGUCUGAUGUGAAAGCCCACGGGCUCAACCGUGAGGGUCAUUGGAAACUGGGGGACUUGAGUACAGAAGAGGAAAGCGGAAUUCCAAGUGUAGCGGUGAAAUGCGUAGAGAUUUGGAGGAACACCAGUGGCGAAGGCGGCUUUCUGGUCUGUAACUGACGCUGAGGCGCGAAAGCGUGGGGAGCAAACAGGAUUAGAUACCCUGGUAGUCCACGCCGUAAACGAUGAGUGCUAAGUGUUAGGGGGUUUCCGCCCCUUAGUGCUGCAGCUAACGCAUUAAGCACUCCGCCUGGGGAGUACGGCCGCAAAGGCUGA
rnacentral:rRNA from 1 species